AUUUGUACUACCUCAGAAUAUAUUAACUUGUCCUACUGAGCAGUAAUAAUUGAUUUAUUUUAUUUUGCUUCUUUCCACUAAAGGUCACUGAAAGUUUUGCGUAUCAUAUCACAUUAUGGUCCUCCAGCACCCUCUAGUUGUAAAAUUCUGCCUGUUGACUUAUUUCCAGAAGAGGUGCAAAUAUAAAACUGUAUAGGCAGUAAGGGAUGUUACUUGAUAUUAAGAAGUAAAAAUGCUAAUAAUUUAAAAAUAAAUGGACAUAAAAUCAAUGGAAAGAUAUAGAAACAUGCCAGCAGUAUGAUUUGAAAAAUGUAGAAAUUAGGACAUUCAAGCAGUAGUAAAGGUGAGGCUUAUGAAGAACAUAUUAGUAACUGGAUUAUCUAGUCGUGAUGUCUUAACAAACUGCAUGAUAGCAAAAUCUGUUUCUAAGGGAGAGACCAUCUGUGUUUCAGAUGACAUUUGCUUGAAGUUCUCCUCUUGACUGGUAGGCGAAUUACAAAUUUCUACCCUUAACAUAAACCUCAGUAUUUCUUUGGCUCUUAAGCAUAGAGGGGUAGCAUCCAAAUGGCUCACUCCUUUCCUUCAAAGUGUUAUGAACUUGUAGGUAUCUUUCUGCUUCAGGUUUUCAGAACAUAUUCAGACCCGUCAACAGGAAGUGCUACUGGAGAUGAAUUAAUUCAUUGGUUAACUUCACCCACAAAUUCAAGCUAUGCAUUACGUCUAUACCGCUGUAGAAAAUAUCUGGGCUGCUUGCAGCACACCCUGGCAUUUUGGCUGACUUUGGGAACUCGCCCACCUACCCACCUACCAGAACCUGUCCUCACUCCAUCAGCGGUAGCAGUGCCAGUAGACGUUAAAAAUAAAAAUCACAGGUCUGUUUGGAAAUCUUUCUGAAAACCCUUCAAUGCGAUGAAUAUGUCUACGCUGCAGUCACUAAAAUGUCUGCAGCUAAUGCAGGCUUAGCCAAAUUAGCUUUAAACUUGCUGACUUGGGGACCGCUAGCAACGUAGCCAUGGCAACGGCGAGCCCGGGCUGAGAGGCCUACCUGCUCGCGUAGGAAAUUAGAAGGCAGACUUUGGUGUUAACCCCCACAAAGCUUUAUGCUGCCUUGCCUGUUGUGCUCAGGCACUUGGUUUGGAGUCAGCUCGCGUGGGCGUUUGCCAGCUCGUGUCUGUGAAACGUAGACGCACGCCGUGUGACGCACGGCGGGCUGGAGCUGGAUUAUUUUUUCCCACUGGUGAUGUGAAAGAUGCCACCGUAAGAUAUGUGUCUUGACGUCAUACAGCACUUCUGCCAUACUUGAUUUCGUGUACUGACAGAAGUGUUCACCAGUGGUGCCAAAAAUGAAACUCAUCACACUGAACCAAUACAAGUGUAAAAGAAUGAGUGGGAUUCAGCCCCCUGAGUGUGAAGGAGGUGGCCUACUGAGCCUCAGUCAUACAGACUAUCCCCUUGACACGUUAAAAAAGCCAUUAAAAAAUCCGAAAUGUAAAACAGGUGUAUAAACCACAUGUCUUUUAGCACAAGAACCUAAAUGGCUUUUCCCCUUGCUGCCCAUGACUCUGGUUCUGGGGCAGAAAGCAACCAGUAAAACAACAUGGGCUACUGGGAGCUGCUGUCCCACCAGGCAGUUGUUAAGCCAUAUAAAGUUCUUUGAAAGAAAGAAGUCUGAAGACUGUGGAGUAGAAAGAGUAAGUUUUUGGAUAACUGUUUUCCACCUGAUAAGUUCUUCGGGCUGUGGCAGUAGAUAACUUGUUUUUUAUAUCUAUCUGUGCAUGUCUAUUUCUUUCCAUGAAUAUCCACAGUGGGAGUCUUUUUUCACUUGGGGAAGCAAAGACAAGAGGUUUUGGGGCCCAAGAAACCCUCCUGAGGAUAGGAGGCCAAGCUGCUGUAC
rnacentral:lncRNA from 1 species